GGAAAGGGUAAAAUUUUCCUAUGCUGAUCUUACUCUUUUUUUUUUUAAAGUAUUCAGAUAUUCUUUAAAGGAUACUGGAUUUUUCAAACCUUUUCUCUUAUUGACUGAGCUGCCUCGCCUGUCAUGCCCAUGAGUAUCCAGCUUCCCCCGCCCAAUACCCGUACGUAUGUUCACUCUCCUGGAGCCCUGACAUGGCUGCUGCUGUUCCCCCUAAUGCGGAGCCAGAAUAGAUGAGAAGUUGUGCAGAGAUUGGGCUGAACUGAUGAAACUCGGGGUGUGUGUUUGGAAGAAGACGACAAGCUCUGGUGGGCAAUGACCAUGAAGUUCUCAGUCUUAACUGUGUGCAUCUGUCUUAUCUAAGUUUGAGGCUUCAGAUUGUGCAAAGUACUUUAAAAUCACUCUCUAAAAUGAAUAAAAGUAAUGAACCAUCCUGCACAUUGUUGGGAAAAACAAUGCUGUUGGAGGAGAUCAGGAAAGGUUCCUUUCUGGCAAUUAUUUUUAACAAUGAUGUGAUACAAUUUAGCUGAAAGUUGGGGAACAGCUAGGGGCAAGGGGAGAAACAUCCCUCUCUUUGGUUAACCUUGCUUGGGAAAUGUGAAUCACUGAACUAAAUAAAGUUUGUAAAAGAUGCUUUGAAAAUAC